rnacentral:rRNA from 1 species
UCUGGUUGAUCCUGCCAGUAGCAUAUGCUUGUCUCAAAGAUUAAGCCAUGCAUGUCUAAGUACAAGCCGAAAUAAGGUGAAACCGAAAUGGCUCAUUAAAUCACACCUAAUCUACUGGAAUGUUAGCGGUUACUUGGAUAACUGAGGUAAUUCUUGAGCUAAUACAUGCGAAAAAUCUCGACUCACGGAGAGAUGCUUUUAUUAGAUCAAAACCAAACGGCUUCGGCUGUUUAACUUUGAUGACUCUGAAUAACUUUGGGCUGAUUGUAUUGCCUUGUGCAGACAACGUUUCCUUCGAAGGUGUGCCCUAUCAACUGUCGACUGUGAUAUAGACGCUCACAGUGGUUUUGACGGGUAACGGGGAAUCAGGGUUCGAUUCCGGAGAGGGAGCCUUAAAAACGGCUACCACAUCCAAGGAAGGCAGCAGGCACGCAAAUUACCCAAUGGUCGAAGACCGAGGUAGUGACGAAAAAUAACAAUACAAGACUCUUCCGAGGCCUUGUAAUUGGAAUGAGUACACUUUAAAACCGUUCCCGAGGAUCUAUUGGAGGGCAAGUCUGGUGCCAGCAGCCGCGGUAAUUCCAGCUCCAAUAGCGUAUAUUAAGGUUGUUGUGGUUAAAAAGCUCGUAGUUGGAUUUCGGCGGGUAGUGGUCGGUUUGAAUUGCUUCAACACUGGCUUUUUUACCCGUGUGUUUUGCCAGAAUUUAACGGGUGAUCUUCGCCGAUUGUCCGUUAGAACUGGCAGGUUUACUUUGAAAAAAUUAGAGUGCUCAAAGCAAGCUUGAUUGCUUGAAUAUUCGUGCAUGGAAUAAUAGAAUAGGAAGUCGUUUCUAUUUUGUUGGUUUUCGGAAAUCGACUUAAUGAUUAAUAGGGAUAGUCGGGGGCAUUUGUAUUCAAACGACAGAGGUGAAAUUCUUGGACCGUUUGAAGACAAACUACUGCGAAAGCAUUUGCCAAGAAUGUUUUCAUUAAUCAAGAACGAAAGUUAGAGGUUCGAAGGCGAUUAGAUACCGCCCUAGUUCUAACCAUAAACGAUGCCAGCUAGCGAUCUGCCGGUGCUUGAUUUUCUGGCCCGGCAGGCAGCUUCCGGGAAACCAAAGCUUGUGGGUUCCAGGGGAAGUAUGGUUGCAAAGCUGAAACUUAAAGGAAUUGACGGAAGGGCACCACCAGGAGUGGAGCCUGUGGCUUAAUUUGACCCAACACGGGAAAUCUCACCAGGCCCGGACACCAGAAGGAUUGACAGAUUGAUAGCUCUUUCUUGAUUUGGUGGGUGGUGGUGCAUGGCCGUUCUUAGUUGGUGGAGUGAUUUGUCUGGUUAAUUCCGAUAACGAACGAGACUCUGUCCUGUUAAAUAGAUCCAACCUAGUUGUAGGGUU